rnacentral:rRNA from 1 species
AUUGAACGCUGGCGGCAGGCCUAACACAUGCAAGUCGAACGGUAACAGGAAACAGCUUGCUGUAUCGCUGACGAGUGGCGGACGGGUGAGUAAUGUCUGGGAAACUGCCUGAUGGAGGGGGAUAACUACUGGAAACGGUAGCUAAUACCGCAUAACGUCUCAAGCCCAAAGAGGGGGACCCUCGGGCCUCUUGCCAUCGGAUGUGCCCAGAUGGGAUUAGCUUGUUGGUGGGGUAACGGCUCACCAAGGCGACGAUCCGUAGCUGGUCUGAGAGGAUGACCAGCCACACUGGAACUGAGACACGGUCCAGACUCCUACGGGAGGCAGCAGUGGGGAAUAUUGCACAAUGGGCGAAAGCCUGAUGCAGCAACGCCGCGUGUAUGAUGAAGGCCUUCGGGUUGUAAAGCACUGUUAGUGGGGAGGAAGGAAGGAGAGUGAAUACAUGUGCUCAUUGACGUUACCUGCAGAAGAAGCACCGGCUAACUACGUG